CAUAAACGAACGAAUAUGAUUAAUAUAACUUGUUAAACGAAUGAAAAUAAACAUAAAAAUUCGUUUGUUUAUCUGUUUGUAUUUAUUCGUUUGUUCGAACAAUCGUUGUUUGUAUAUAUUCCUUUUUACGACCAUUGAAAAUGUAAAACAUUUAGAUUUUAGGACUUAGGAGCCGGACAAAAAUAACUAACCAAAUUGGGCUUUUAUGUAAAUUGUUUAACCCCAGAGAUUGCAAACCCGGAUCCAUUGGGCCGUCCAUUAAGAUUUAGGGUUCGCUAAAUAGCCCCACCCCAUCCCCUUUCUUUCAUUAUACCGUCGGCUAGGGUUUUAUAACUGAAAAAGGAAAAACACAACAAACCCAAGCUAUCCGAUCACCAUGAGAGCCAAGUGGAAGAAGAAGAGAAUGAGGAGAUUGAAGAGGAAGCGCCGAAAGAUGAGGCAGAGAUCUAAGUAAUAAUAUGUUUGUUUGGAAUAAUAAUCUGCCAGACUUUUUGAAGGAAUCAUCACCAUCGUGUCAAUUUCCGUUUCAUAUUUUUCUAUUCGAACAUGUCGUAAUCAGUACUGUUUAGUUUUGUUAUGGUUUUUGGAUUCUGUUAUUUUAAUGGUGCGAGUUUAGUUAAUUUCCCAA